GGGUUGUGAGGUUAAGCGACUAAGCGUACACGGUGGAUGCCCUGGCAGUCAGAGGCGAUGAAGGACGUGCUAAUCUGCGAUAAGCGUCGGUAAGGUGAUAUGAACCGUUAUAACCGGCGAUUUCCGAAUGGGGAAACCCAGUGUGUUUCGACACACUAUCAUUAACUGAAUCCAUAGGUUAAUGAGGCGAACCGGGGGAACUGAAACAUCUAAGUACCCCGAGGAAAAGAAAUCAACCGAGAUUCCCCCAGUAGCGGCGAGCGAACGGGGAGCAGCCCAGAGCCUGAAUCAGUGUGUGUGUUAGUGGAAGCGUCUGGAAAGGCGCGCGAUACAGGGUGACAGCCCCGUACACAAAAAUGCACAUGCUGUGAGCUCGAUGAGUAGGGCGGGACACGUGGUAUCCUGUCUGAAUAUGGGGGGACCAUCCUCCAAGGCUAAAUACUCCUGACUGACCGAUAGUGAACCAGUACCGUGAGGGAAAGGCGAAAAGAACCCCGGCGAGGGGAGUGAAAAAGAACCUGAAACCGUGUACGUACAAGCAGUGGGAGCACGCUUAGGCGUGUGACUGCGUACCUUUUGUAUAAUGGGUCAGCGACUUAUAUUCUGUAGCAAGGUUAACCGAAUAGGGGAGCCGAAGGGAAACCGAGUCUUAACUGGGCGUUAAGUUGCAGGGUAUAGACCCGAAACCCGGUGAUCUAGCCAUGGGCAGGUUGAAGGUUGGGUAACACUAACUGGAGGACCGAACCGACUAAUGUUGAAAAAUUAGCGGAUGACUUGUGGCUGGGGGUGAAAGGCCAAUCAAACCGGGAGAUAGCUGGUUCUCCCCGAAAGCUAUUUAGGUAGCGCCUCGUGAAUUCAUCUCCGGGGGUAGAGCACUGUUUCGGCAAGGGGGUCAUCCCGACUUACCAACCCGAUGCAAACUGCGAAUACCGGAGAAUGUUAUCACGGGAGACACACGGCGGGUGCUAACGUCCGUCGUGAAGAGGGAAACAACCCAGACCGCCAGCUAAGGUCCCAAAGUCAUGGUUAAGUGGGAAACGAUGUGGGAAGGCCCAGACAGCCAGGAUGUUGGCUUAGAAGCAGCCAUCAUUUAAAGAAAGCGUAAUAGCUCACUGGUCGAGUCGGCCUGCGCGGAAGAUGUAACGGGGCUAAACCAUGCACCGAAGCUGCGGCAGCGACGCUUAUGCGUUGUUGGGUAGGGGAGCGUUCUGUAAGCCUGCGAAGGUGUGCUGUGAGGCAUGCUGGAGGUAUCAGAAGUGCGAAUGCUGACAUAAGUAACGAUAAAGCGGGUGAAAAGCCCGCUCGCCGGAAGACCAAGGGUUCCUGUCCAACGUUAAUCGGGGCAGGGUGAGUCGACCCCUAAGGCGAGGCCGAAAGGCGUAGUCGAUGGGAAACAGGUUAAUAUUCCUGUACUUGGUGUUACUGCGAAGGGGGGACGGAGAAGGCUAUGUUGGCCGGGCGACGGUUGUCCCGGUUUAAGCGUGUAGGCUGGUUUUCCAGGCAAAUCCGGAAAAUCAAGGCUGAGGCGUGAUGACGAGGCACUACGGUGCUGAAGCAACAAAUGCCCUGCUUCCAGGAAAAGCCUCUAAGCAUCAGGUAACAUCAAAUCGUACCCCAAACCGACACAGGUGGUCAGGUAGAGAAUACCAAGGCGCUUGAGAGAACUCGGGUGAAGGAACUAGGCAAAAUGGUGCCGUAACUUCGGGAGAAGGCACGCUGAUAUGUAGGUGAAGUCCCUUGCGGAUGGAGCUGAAAUCAGUCGAAGAUACCAGCUGGCUGCAACUGUUUAUUAAAAACACAGCACUGUGCAAACACGAAAGUGGACGUAUACGGUGUGACGCCUGCCCGGUGCCGGAAGGUUAAUUGAUGGGGUCAGCGCAAGCGAAGCUCUUGAUCGAAGCCCCGGUAAACGGCGGCCGUAACUAUAACGGUCCUAAGGUAGCGAAAUUCCUUGUCGGGUAAGUUCCGACCUGCACGAAUGGCGUAAUGAUGGCCAGGCUGUCUCCACCCGAGACUCAGUGAAAUUGAACUCGCUGUGAAGAUGCAGUGUACCCGCGGCAAGACGGAAAGACCCCGUGAACCUUUACUAUAGCUUGACACUGAACAUUGAGCCUUGAUGUGUAGGAUAGGUGGGAGGCUUUGAAGUGUGGACGCCAGUCUGCAUGGAGCCGACCUUGAAAUACCACCCUUUAAUGUUUGAUGUUCUAACGUUGACCCGUAAUCCGGGUUGCGGACAGUGUCUGGUGGGUAGUUUGACUGGGGCGGUCUCCUCCUAAAGAGUAACGGAGGAGCACGAAGGUUGGCUAAUCCUGGUCGGACAUCAGGAGGUUAGUGCAAUGGCAUAAGCCAGCUUGACUGCGAGCGUGACGGCGCGAGCAGGUGCGAAAGCAGGUCAUAGUGAUCCGGUGGUUCUGAAUGGAAGGGCCAUCGCUCAACGGAUAAAAGGUACUCCGGGGAUAACAGGCUGAUACCGCCCAAGAGUUCAUAUCGACGGCGGUGUUUGGCACCUCGAUGUCGGCUCAUCACAUCCUGGGGCUGAAGUAGGUCCCAAGGGUAUGGCUGUUCGCCAUUUAAAGUGGUACGCGAGCUGGGUUUAGAACGUCGUGAGACAGUUCGGUCCCUAUCUGCCGUGGGCGCUGGAGAACUGAGGGGGGCUGCUCCUAGUACGAGAGGACCGGAGUGGACGCAUCACUGGUGUUCGGGUUGUCAUGCCAAUGGCACUGCCCGGUAGCUAAAUGCGGAAGAGAUAAGUGCUGAAAGCAUCUAAGCACGAAACUUGCCCCGAGAUGAGUUCUCCCUGACCCUUUAAGGGUCCUGAAGGAACGUUGAAGACGACGACGUUGAUAGGCCGGGUGUGUAAGCGCAGCGAUGCGUUGAGCUAACCGGUACUAAUGAACCGUGAGGCUUAACCUUACAACGCCGAAG
rnacentral:rRNA from 1 species